GUGUUUGAUUCUGUAGCACAUAUACCAAAAUUGGAAAGAUACAGAGAAGAUUAGCAUGGCCCCUGCGCAAGGAUGACACGCAAAUUUGUGAAGUGUUCCAUAUUGUU
rnacentral:snRNA from 1 species